CGCCUGUUUAUCAAAAACAUGUCUCUUUGGACUUUAAUAUAUAAAGAGUCGGGCCUGCCCGGUGAAAAUUUUUAACGGCCGCGGUAUUUUGACUGUGCGAAGGUAGCAUAAUAAUUUGCCCUAUAAUUGAGGGCUAGUAUGAAUGGUUUGACGUGAGCAAAACUGUCUCUAUAUUGAUUUUUUAGAAUUUGAUCUUUAGGUGAAGAAACCUAAAUUUUAUUAAAAGACAAGAAGACCCUAUUGAGCUUUAAAGAAGUAAGCAAGUUAAGAAUUGUUUAGGUGAUAAAUUCAUUUGUUUAAGAUUUUGGUUGGGGCGACUGAGGAAUAGGUAAAGCUUCUUUUAAGUAUUAAGGCUCGCAGGUGUUGAUCCAAGUGUUUUGAUUAAAGAAAUUAGUUACCGUAGGGAUAACAGCAUAAUUUCCUUUGAGAGUUCUUAUCGAAAAGGGAGUUUGUGACCUCGAUGUUGGACUAAAAUUUCCUAAAGAUGUAGUAGUCUUUAAGGGUUGGUCUGUUCGACCAUUAAAAUUUUACGUGAUCUGAGUUCAGACCGGA
rnacentral:rRNA from 1 species